rnacentral:rRNA from 1 species
CGCGGCCUAUCAGCUUGUUGGUGGGGUAACGGCCCACCAAGGCAACGACGGGUAGCUGGUUUGAGAGAACGAUCAGCCACACUGGUACUGAGACACGGUCCAGACUUCUACGGGAGGCAGCAGUAGGGAAUCUUGCGCAAUGGGCGAAAGCCUGACGCAGCGACGCCGCGUGCGGGAUGACGGCCCUAGUGGUUGUAAACCGCUUUCAGCAGGGACGAAAAUGACGGUACCUGCAGAAGAAGUCCCGGCUAACUACGUGCCAGCAGCCGCGGUAAUACGUAGGGGACAAGCGUUGUCCGGAUUCAUUGGGCGUAAAGAGCUCGUAGGCGGUUCAGUAAGUUGGGUGUGAAAGCUCCGGGCUCAACCCGGAGAGGCCACUCAAUACUGCUGUGACCAGAGUCCAGUAGAGGAGCGUGGAACUCCUGGUGUAGCGGUGAAAUGCGCAGAUAUCAGGAAGAACACCGGCAGCGAAGGCGGCGCUCUGGGCUGGUACUGACGCUGAGGAGCGAAAGCAUGGGUAGCAAACAGGAUUAGAUACCCUGGUAGUCCAUGCCGUAAACGUUGGGCACUAGGUGUGGGGAGGAAUCAACCCUCUCUGUGCCGUAGCUAACGCAUUAAGUGCCCCGCCUGGGGAGUACGG